rnacentral:tRNA from 1 species
GGGCGUAUGGUCUAGUGGUACGACGUCCCAGUUGCAAUGAGAAGCUCCCAGGUUCGAACCCUGGUACGUCCA